rnacentral:rRNA from 1 species
AGAGACAGCAGCCGCCGCGGUAAUACGUAGGGGGCAAGCGUUAUCCGGAAUAACUGGGCGUAAAGGGUGCGCAGGUGGUUUAACAAGUUAGUGGUGAAAGGCAUAGGCUCAACCAAUGUAAGCCAUUAAAACUGUUUAACUUGAGUGCAGGAGAGGAGAGUGGAAUUCCACGUGUAGCGGUGAAAUGCGUAGAGAUGUGGAGGAACACCAGUGGCGAAGGCGACUCUCUGGUCUGUAACUGACGCUGAGGAGCGAAAGCGUGGGGAGCGAACAGGAUUAGAUACCCCUGUAGUCCCUGUCUCUUAUACA